rnacentral:rRNA from 1 species
UGCGCAGGCGGUUGCGUGUGUUAGGUGUGAAAGCCCGAGGCUCAACCUCGGAAUUGCGCCUAAAACUACGUGACUAGAGCAUUGGAGAGGGUAGCGGAAUUCAUGGUGUAGCAGUGAAAUGCGUAGAUAUCAUGAGGAACACCAGAGGCGAAGGCGGCUACCUGGACAAUUGCUGACGCUCAGGCACGAAAGCGUGGGGAGCAAAAG